rnacentral:rRNA from 1 species
ACUGGAGGCAGCAGUGGGGAAUAUUGCACAAUGGGCGCAAGCCUGAUGCAGCCAUGCCGCGUGUGUGAAGAAGGCCUUAGGGUUGUAAAGCACUUUCAGCGAGGAGGAAGGGUUCAGUGUUAAUAGCACUGAACAUUGACGUUACUCGCAGAAGAAGCACCGGCUAACUCCGUGCCAGCAGCCGCGGUAAUACGGAGGGUGGGAGCGUUAAUCGGAAUUACUGGGCGUAAAGCGCACGCAGGCGGUUUGUUAAGUCAGAUGUGAAAUCCCCGAGCUUAACUUGGGAACUGCAUUUGAAACUGGCAAGCUAGAGUCUUGUAGAGGGGGGUAGAAUGCCAGGU